rnacentral:rRNA from 1 species
AACGAACGCUGGCGGCAUGCCUAACACAUGCAAGUCGAACGAAGGCUUCGGCCUUAGUGGCGCACGGGUGCGUAACGCGUGGGAAUCUGCCCUUGGGUUCGGAAUAACUCAGAGAAAUUUGAGCUAAUACCGGAUGAUGACGUAAGUCCAAAGAUUUAUCGCCCAAGGAUGAGCCCGCGUAAGAUUAGCUAGUUGGUGGGGUAAAGGCCUACCAAGGCGACGAUCUUUAGCUGGUCUGAGAGGAUGAUCAGCCACACUGGGACUGAGACACGGCCCAGACUCCUACGGGAGGCAGCAGUGGGGAAUAUUGGACAAUGGGCGAAAGCCUGAUCCAGCAAUGCCGCGUGAGUGAUGAAGGCCUU